GUGAGCCGUGUGAUGGGAAACCUCCCCGCACGGUUCGGAGAGCACUUCAUUCGAAUGGGGUGAACCACCACAUCAUUGCAAGGGUAACAGAGCUCGCUCGAUUCGCAGAUUGGUUUGACCCGGAAUUCACUUUCGACCCUGU
rfam:Cycas panzhihuaensis NADH dehydrogenase subunit 5 (nad5) gene, partial cds; mitochondrial gene for mitochondrial product.